rnacentral:SRP_RNA from 1 species
GCCGGGCGACGUGGCGGGCACCUGUAGUCCCAGCUACUCGGGAGGCUGAGGCACGAGAAUGGCCUGAACCCGGGAGGCGGAGCUUGCAGUGAGCUGAGAUCCGGCCACUGCACUCCAGCCUGGGUGACAGAGUGAGACUCUGUCGCAAAAAAAAAAAAAAAAAAAGAAAUUUACUCAAAGAUUAUUUUUCUUUUUCUUUCUCUUUUUUUUUGAGAUGGAGUCUCGCUCUGUCACCCAGGCUGGAGUGCAGUGGAGUGAUCUCGGCUCACUGCAACCUCCGCCUCCCGGGUUCAAGCGAUUCUCCUGCCUCAG